GUCAGUAGCAUUUGUAACCCCUCCUUUCUUGUGCUGCCACUUCCUAUGGCAGUGUCAUAUGAGAAGACUGGGUUUGGAAGGAUUUAGACUGAACAGCCCAGAUUUCAGGAGGUGGGUUUUGGGGUACCAAAGAGAGUGAUUUGGCACAGUGAAGAGCAUUUUCCACUUUCCUGGCCAUCUCUAGAACUUUAUCCAAGGAGCAGACUGGAAAAAAUUUGCUUGAAUUAUCAUAAUCUUUAGAAAGCAAGAGAAAUGAUUUGGAGCCAUUUACAGCAUGACAUAUGAGCAAAGUGCCUGGAUGUUGCAUCAACCGGGGGCAUUAUGGGGAAAAAGAUGGUGGCUGGCCAGAGGAAACCACCAGGAGGAGCUCUGAUGUUCCUUUUACACUUUAAAAACCGUUUAAAGCAGGCGGAAGGUGGGGAGGACUGCUGCUCCUUCAGGCAACGAAAAGACUAAAGAAGACUGAAGUGUAACACAGCAAAAGUUAACAAGCAAGAAAACAUUUCUUCUCAUUGUCCGUUUCUUCAAGCAUUCAGACCUGCUUUUAGAAGGACUCUUGGCUUUCAUUCCAAUUUCCCUUGUUCCAAUUGGUCAGAUCUCUGGGGGAUUCCAAGUCUGAGCAGACAACUAGCAAACACCCUGGCAGAGCAACCCAGAAUAGUAAGGCUCACUCUUCUCAGAUGACCACACAUGUGUGCUUUUAGCUCUUUCCAACUUGGAGCACGGAGCUAUUUUAAGAGUUUCCUCUUUUCAUACAUACAUAGUUGCCAUGGUUGCAAAACUAAUGCACAUGGAAAGAAAGGUCCUUCACACUGUUGACUCAGCACCAAGGCACGUUGCUGAAUCUCCCUGUUUCUAAACUCACGUUAAUGAAAGGGAUAGUAAAUCAGCCUCUCAUCUGCUGUUGCUCUGUUGACUAAUGGAGGAACUACUCCGAGAAGUUUAGAGGAACUAAGCUUCCACCUGAGAAGCUAGAACAGUGUUUACCCAUUACCAUGCCAUCCAAGAUAACUUCUUCCUGCUUUGGCUUGCUCUGCCAAUUAGAUAUAAACAUUUCAUAUAUGCUGUUUUCAAGGAACCAGAAAAUACACAGAUCAAAUACUAAUACUAAUUCACUGAACUCUCAACAAAAAGACCUUUUAUUGGGGAGGGGGCCAUAAAAGCUGUAACAUAAAAACAUAAGACAUUUUGGUAACAUACCAUCCUCAGUUAAAUAAUGCAUUGAUUCUAUGCCUGAUGCAUGUCAUUUCAUUGUCUACAAAAGCCUUUGCCACAAUAAACUAACUAGUCUCUUAAGAGACCACAGACCAGCAAGAGAUCAGAGAUGAGUACCCACUCAUUAUUCUCAAGGGGUGGUGAGGCAGGUUCAACACAUGCUUUUGCCAUAAUGAAAUGUAUGCUUCCCACUGAUGAGGUGCAUGUGUACAUCCCUGAAUAAUCUAAACUGACUCUGAACUACCCAUGCCUACUCCUGUGUUUAUGUUAUCUGCUCAGCUGUUUUAAAAAUUACUAAUCAAUGGAUCUAAUCAGUUUUACAGGAGGAAACUAAAAUGUCUCCUGUUCUGAGAUUCAUAAUUGGCUGCUUUUGCACAUCACAAAAAACCAGAGUUGAAGGGACCUUCGGUUGAAAAUUUUAUCAUCUGAAUGUGUGCAACCACAGUUUGGAUGGAAAAUGGACCUGUGGUUUCUCUCCCCAGGCUCCAGCAGUAGCAGACUCUUUAAAAAAAGAGAUGAAGGUUUUUACUGAAUCUUUUUCCCCUAAUAAUGAGAUGCUGAUGUUUGUUUUGGAUUUCUCCACCAUUUGAAAUGAGAAGGAUGCCAGAGAAAAUGUUUUAUUAAAUAAAAAGGGUAUGUCAUUUUGUAAGUA